rnacentral:tRNA from 2 species
GGCCCCAUGGUGUAAUGGUGAGCACUCUGGACUUUGAAUCCAGCGAUCCGAGUUCAAGUCUCGGUGGGACCU